CCUACGGGUGGCAGCAGUGAAUUGACGGUACCUGCAAAGGAAGCACCGGCUAACUCCGUGCCAGCAGCCGCGGUAAUACGGAGGGUUCGAGCGUUAAUCGGAAGUACUGGGCGUAAAGCGCUCGUAGGCGGUAUGUCAAGUCAAGGGUGAAAUCCCCGCGCUCAACGUGGGAACUGCCUUUGAAACUGGCAAACUGGAGUGUGUGAGAGGAUAGUGGAAUUCCAGGUGUAGGAGUGAAAUCCGUAGAUAUCUGGAGGAACAUCAGUGGCGAAGGCGACUAUCUGGCACAUAACUGACGCUGAGGAGCGAAAGCGUGGGUAGCAAACAGGAUUAGAUACCCCUGUAGUC
rnacentral:rRNA from 1 species